GAGCGGCGGACGGCUGAGUAACGCGUGGGAAUGUACCCCAAAGUGAGGGAUAACGCACCGAAAGGUGUGCUAAUACCGCAUAUGAUCUUCGGAUUAAAGCCUUCGGGCGCUUUGGGAACAGCCUGCGUCAGAUUAGAUAGUUGGUGAGGUAAUGGCUCACCAAGUCGACGAUCUGUAACUGGUUUGAGAGGAUGAUCAGUCAGACUGGAACUGAGACACGGUCCAGACUCCUACGGGAGGCAGCAGUGAGGAAUCUUCCACAAUGGGCGAAAGCCUGAUGGAGCAACGCCGCGUGCAGGAUGAAGGCCUUCGGGUUGUAAACUGCUUUUAUAAGUGAGGAUUAUGACAGUAACUUAUGAAUAAGGAUCGGCUAACUACGUGCCAGCAGCCGCGGUCAUACGUAGGAUCCGAGCGUUAUCCGGAGUGACUGGGCGUAAAGAGUUGCGUAGGUGGUUUAAUAAGCGAAUAGUGAAAUCUGGUGGCUCAACCAUUCAGACUAUUAUUCGAACUGUUGAACUCGAGAGCAGAAGAGGUAGCUGGAAUUUCUAGUGUAGGAGUGAAAUCCGUAGAUAUUAGAAGGAACACCGAUGGCGUAGGCAGGCUACUGGGCUGUUUCUGACACUGAGGCACGAAAGCGUGGGGAGCGAACCGGAUUAGAUACCCGGGUAGUCCACGCCGUAAACGAUGGAUACUAGCUGUUUGGGGUAUCGACCCCCUGAGUAGCGAAGCUAACGCGUUAAGUAUCCCGCCUGUGGAGUACGAUCGCAAGAUUAAAACAUAAAGGAAUUGACGGGGACCCGCACAAGCGGCGGAGCAUGCGGAUUAAUUCGAUGCAACGCGAAGAACCUUACCAAGGCUUGACAUAUACUGGACUGCGUCAGAGAUGGCGUUUCCCUUCGGGGCUGGUAUACAGGUGGUGCAUGGUUGUCGUCAGCUCGUGUCGUGAGAUGUUGGGUUAAGUCCCGCAACGAGCGCAACCCUCGUUCUAUGUUGCCAGCACGUGAUGGUGGGGACUCAUAGGAGACUGCCGGGGUCAACUCGGAGGAAGGUGGGGAUGACGUCAAAUCAUCAUGCCCCUUAUGUCUUGGGCUUCACGCAUGCUACAAUGGCCGGUACAGAGGGUUGCGAUACUGUGAGGUGGAGCUAAUCCCUAAAAGCCGGUCUCAGUUCGGAUUGGGGUCUGCAACUCGACCCCAUGAAGUCGGAGUCGCUAGUAAUCGCAGAUCAGCAACGCUGCGGUGAAUACGUUCCCGGGCCUUGCACACACCGCCCGUCA
rnacentral:rRNA from 1 species